rnacentral:rRNA from 1 species
AUGAUGAUCUGCCCUUCCUACCUACUCUCGACGCCCCGGAUCGUGUCUCCCCCGGCCGUUUCUCCUUGCAGCGCGGCGACGGCGACCGGUUCAUGUCCCUUGGAUGCCGCCAUGGCCUCGUACUCGUCUUCAACAAACCUAAGGACCAGAUCCUGGUGUGGGACCCCGUCACCGGCGACCAGCACCGCCUUGGCAUCCCCCCGGUGGUUGCGAUACAUGCGAAGAAGACAACGAUCAAUGGGGCGGUGCUUCGUCCUGAUGAUGCCCAACACUUCCAAGUGGUGUUGA